rnacentral:rRNA from 1 species
AGAACGAACGCUGGCGGCAGGCCUAACACAUGCAAGUCGAGCGCCCCGCAAGGGGGAGCGGCGGACGGGUGAGUAACGCGUGGGAAUUUUUCCUGGAGUACGGAACAACCGAGGGAAACUUCGGCUAAUACCGUAUGAUGCCGAGAGGCCAAAGAUUUAUCGCUCUGGGGUGAGCCCGCGUCAGAUUAGGUAGUUGGUGGGGUAAUGGCCUACCAAGCCUGCGAUCUGUAGCUGGUCUGAGAGGACGAUCAGCCACACUGGGACUGAGACACGGCCCAGACUCCUACGGGAGGCAGCAGUGGGGAAUCUUGCGCAAUGGGCGAAAGCCUGACGCAGCCAUGCCGCGUGAGUGAAGAAGGUCUUAGGAUUGUAAAGCUCUUUCGCUCGUGACGAUGAUGACGGUAACGAGAGAAGAAGCCCGGCUAACUUCGUGCCAGCAAGCCGC